CCGCUGCUGGUCUGCGGCAGGCCGGAGCCGCCCUCUGUGGAGUAAACUCCAGAGUCUCUGCUGCCGCUGCUGCCCUGACGACUGUGUCUGCCACUGGAAACAUCAGAGGGAAAAUAUUACAGUCACAUGAGGACACUUGAUAUUCAGCCCUGUGCAAGCUCCUGCAGGGCCUCGGGCGGAGGGUCGUGGAUCUCCAGGAACGCCGGCUCUGGACAGAUGGUCACCUUAUGACACAAUAUCUCGGCUUCUUUAUCCGGGGAGAGAAGGCGAGGGAUGUCCGACGCCGGAGAGUCACAAAAAUACUGGAGAGAAGAGAGACUGAGAUGAGACUCUGAUGAUUGUUCUGGUGGAAUUGAAUAUAUCAGCUUCAGAGGGAUAAAUAAUUACGAUUUCUGAUGCUGAACAAAUGAUUUGGUCACUUGUAAACAACGGUGUGGACAGUCUCACCAGCAACAAAAAACAUUUCUGUGCUUCUUUUAAUUCAACUGUGACAAAACUAUGACAAUAAAACCAAAAACAUUUUCCUUUA